rnacentral:misc_RNA from 1 species
GAUGAAGAACGCAGCGAAAUGCGAUACGUAAUGUGAAUUGCAGAAUUCAGUGAAUCAUCGAAUCUUUGAACGCACAUUGCGCCCCUUGGUAUUCCAUGGGGCAUGCCUGUUCGAGCGUCAUUUGUACCCUCAAGCUUUGCUUGGUGUUGGGUGUUUGUCCCGCGUUGCGCGUGGACUCGCCUUAAAGCGAUUGGCAGCCGGCAUAUUGGCCUUGGAGCGCAGCACAUUUUGCGCUUCUAGUCAUGAAUGUUGGCGUCCAUUAAGCCUAUACAUUUGCUCUUGACCUCGGAUCAGGUAGGGAUACCCGCUGAACUUAAGCAUAUCAAUAAGCGGAGGA